rnacentral:snoRNA from 1 species
AGUACAGAAGUGGCAUGAUUCAAUCGAAAUAUCUUCUAGUGAUAUUGUUAGAUUUGCAGAAUUAUGGCAUGAAUUAAUC